GGUUGAUCAGAAUGAGAUGAAUGGCUGGGCGAAUCAGAGCCAGCAGACCGAGAGGACUAUCCAAUGGAACCAAGUGAAAGUAUUUUUGGAUAGUUAUCUAUAGCUGAUAUAGUUUGCUCUUCUAUUGAGCGUAUGUCUUCAAAUCUACUAAUCCAAUUUUGAAUCGUGGGAACCACACUUUGUCUCUGCAUUAAUGAGGUAUAGGAGCAUAGUCUUACCAUAGUUAAAGGUCGGCAAUGGAGAUAAUGUGUAACCG